rnacentral:lncRNA from 10 species
CCGGUCUUCCAGACAGCAGGCGCGGCACAUGCAGAGAUGGCAAAGGCAAGGGCCCCAGCGUGCUGUCCUCAUGAGGCCUCGCCAGCAUUACUCCCUGAUGGCACUCCUCUCGCAACCCCCACCCCCACCCCUGCACUGCACGCCCUGACCCCCCUGCUGAUCAACUGUUGAAGAAAUUCCACUUGGAAGAAGUCUACAGUGGGGACUGGGGGUCCCGCGUGUGGGGGAUGACUCCUAAGCCUGGAGGCAGAGGGAAGAGAACCGCGCACGGUCCCUUCCUCCACAGACCUGCACAGCAGAUUAGCCUCUGCUGCCAGCUGCCCUGCUCCCCAGUCCCUUCCUUUGAAGGAAUGGGUGGUAGGAUCUCCACAGGAAUCUAGAGGUGGUGCCUCUGUGGUUUUCUGGCGCAGCCAGCUUGUUUCUCUCAGAUCUGUGUGAAGUGCGAGGGGCACAGCAGGGGGUGACAUUCUCAUUUUAUAGCCAGGAAACUGAGGCGCAGAGGCUUUGUGUGACUUGCCUGCAGCCACACAGCAGCCCAUGGUAUGGUUGGGACCAGAUCUGGAAUCGCUGAAUCCCAGCCAAGACUCCCUUCUGCCUCAAGCUGAGCCAUUUAUGGCUUGACAUGGAGGCGGAUCACCUGAACAGUCCCCAUUCCCCACAAAGUUCUCAACAAAAAAAGGGCCAACUUGGACACAGUGAUUGAGAUGGAGACUGACCACGAGAGGAGGGCACUUCCUAAUCCCCGUUUCUGGCCCUAAACAUCUUCCUGGCUUUCUGUUCAGGACCCCUCCUGACUCCCUCAAAUGCUCUUGGAUUCCGCUGACUUAAAGGAUCAAAUACAUUUUGGCUCCUUGCCUGUCUCCCCCCAGGAGUAUGUGCAGUCCUGGGGCUGACAGGGACUUGGAAGGAGAAGCCCAAGUGUCUUAUUCCUUUUUUUGUUUGUUUGUUUGUUUUUUACUGUUAGAACACCACAGACUGGGCAAUUUAUAAAGAAAAGGGUUUAUUUGGUUCAUAGCUCUGGGAAGUCCAAGGGCAUGGCUCUGGCAUCUAGCGAGGGCCUUCAUAUUGAGUUAUCCCAAGGUGGAAGGUGGAGGGUAGGAGGGAA